AGUGAACGCUGGCGGCAGGCCUAAUACAUGCAAGUCGAACGGCCGCACGGUAAGCUUUCUCCCCUACUGUUAGCGGCUGACGGGUGGGUAACGCAUACAUAACCUACCUAUAUUACUUGGGGAACUUCGUGAGACAACAGCUGCUACCACCUCAUACGUUCUACGGCAUAAAUCAGAAGUUAAACACAGUUUGCCUGACACUUUUAGAUGGUGUCGUGCUGCAUUAGCUACUUGGUAAGGGAACGGCCUACCAAGGCAACGAUGCAUAGCUGACCUGAUAGGAUGAUCAGCCACACUGGAACUGAGACACGGUCCAGACUCCUACGGGAGGCAGCAGUGGGGAAUAUUGGACAAUGGGCGCAAGCCUGAUCCAGCAAUACCGCGUGAGUGAAGAAGGCCUUCGGGUUGUAAAGCCCUUUUGUUGGGAAAGAAAAGCAGCAGGUGAAUACCCCGCUGUUCUGACGGUACCCAAAGAAUAAGCACCGGCUAACUUCGUG
rnacentral:rRNA from 1 species